rnacentral:rRNA from 1 species
GACGAACGCUGGCGGCGCGCUUAACACAUGCAAGUCGAGCGAUGAAAUCUUAACAGAACCCUUCGGGGUGAAGAUAAGACGGAUUAGCGGCGGACGGGUGAGUAACACGUGAGUAACCUGCCUUUUACACAGGGAUAGCCUCAGGAAACCGGGAUUAAAACCUGAUGAAACUAUCAAAUCACAUGAUUAGGAAAGUUAAAACUCCGGUGGUAAAAGAUGGACUCGCGUCCCAUUAGCUAGUUGGUGAAGGUAACGGCCCACCAAGGCAACGAUGGGUAGCCGGCCUGAGAGGGUGAACGGCCACAUUGGAACUGAGAAACGGUCCAAACUCCUACGGGAGGCAGCAGUGGGGAAUAUUGCACAAUGGGGGAAACCCUGAUGCAGCGACGCCGCGUGAGCGAAGAAGGCCUUCGGGUCGUAAAGCUCUUUUAUAUGGGAAGAUAAUGACGGUACCAGAAGAAAAAGCCCCGGCUAACUACGUG